AAGAGGCCAGGCUUGGCUCUUUUUCCUUUUUUAUUAUGCACACCAUGUUUCUGUAUAUCUCAGAUGAUCUUAGCGGAGCAAGUGUACACACUGGAUUGUAAAUUUUUAAAACUUCCUAUUAUUCGGAUGCCUCAACGUCCCUACAAGCAGGCUGUGAGCACUCGCCCAGGCACCCAGGAGUCCAAGGCCACCAGAAGUCAUCCUUGAGCCUUUCAUGCAUGCACCAAGAUUGGCAAGACAGAGUGGAGAAAAGUAAUUCAGUUGACUGAGAUACAAACCUUUUCCAGAAAAACAAGAUCUAAGAAGAGAAAAACAUAAAGGCGUUUCAAGGACACCUAUAACUUGGGUAUCCACUUUUAAUUAAGCUGAGUGCUCUUUCAUAAAAUUCUUCUUUACUAAUUAAAACUUUACAGAUAAUAUAAA